GGUGAGAGUCACCCAGCUGGGAUUUUUUGUAAUACUGAUAUUUUUCAGAUUAUCCAAACCAAUCUAGCCCUUUCUCAUCUCUGUGGAGGAAUUUAGUUCCACUCUUCUUUAUAGAAUUACAGUUUUAAUUCAGACACAUUGGAGCAUUUUCCAGAAUAAAAGUCCUGUUUAAGAUCAUCUACAGCAUCUCAAUCAUCCAGACUUUAACUAGACCUUUAACCCCAAAACCUUCAUUUAGAUUUUAGUUUUUAAUCCAUUCAGAGACAGUGAACUUUAGAGGUUUGUGUUCUUUAGGUCACUGUCCUGCUGCAGAACCCAAGUAAAGUACUCCUGAGCUUGAGGUCAGUAAGGAACAGAUGGACGGAUUCUGAUUCUCCUUCAGGAUUUUAUGUUAGAGAACAGUAGAAUUCCUACUUCCAUCCAUUACAGCAAGUUAAAGUCCAGCAGCUCCAGACCAUCAUCACACACACACACACACACUACCACCACCAUGUUUUACAUUUUACGUUCAGUAUGUAAAAAGCAGUGUUUUUUAUCUUGCAAUUCUCCCAUGGAGAUCAUUUUACCCGUUUGUCUCUUUAUUCUUAUUAUUGAAUCAUUAACACUGAUCUUAACUGAGGUGAGUGAGAUCCUGCAGUUCUUUAAAUGUUGUUCUGGGUUCUUUUAUGGAUCUCCUGGAUGAGUUCUUCAUGCCCUUUUGGAGUAAUUUUGUUCGGUCGGCCGGUCACUCCUGGGAAGGUUCACCAGCGCUCCAUGUUUUCUCAUCUAUUGUUGAGUUUCUUCAGAUGGGGGUAUAAUAAUUAUGAGUUUCUUUGUUUUUACCAAAUUGAAAACCUCUGGAAUAUAAUCAAGAGGAAGAUGGAUGAUCACAAACCAUCAAACCACCAAACUGAACUGCUUGAAUUUUUACACCAGGAGCAAGGCAGCAUAAAGUUACCCAAAAGCAGUGUGUAAGACUGGUGGAGGAGAACAUGAUGCCAAGAUGCAUAAAAUAAAACUGUGAUUAAAAACCACCAAAUAUUGAUUAUUUCUGAACUCUUAAAUCUUAAUGAAUAUGAACUUGUUUUCUUUGCAUUAUUUGAGGUCUGAAAGCUCUGCAUCUUUUUUGUUAUUUCAGACAUUUCUCAUUUUCUGUAAAUAAAUGCUCUAAAUGAGAAUAUUUUUAUUUGUAAUUUGGGAGAAAUGUUGUCUGUAGUUUAUAGAAUAAAACAACAAUGUUCAUUUUACUCAAACAUAAACCUAUAAAUAGCUAUAUUAAUAUACUAUAUUAUUCUAUUUACUAUUUUGUUCAUGCUAAACUCUGCAGGUUCCUCUGCUGCCGGUGCUUCCUGUGGUUAGCACCUUUGUGAAUGUUUAUCUGAUGGUUCAGCUGGGAGCAGAUACGUGGAUCCGCUACUCCGUCUGGAUGGCAGUAGGUCUGCUGAUCUAUUUCGGCUAUGGAGUUUGGCACAGCGUCCAGAAGAAACGUGAAGAAGCUCCUCCCCGUAUCCCGGUUAACACACUGAUAGAAACGGCUCUGUAACGACUCUAAACUGAGUCACACACACACACACAC